ensembl:lincRNA
GAUAAGUGGACGUGGCGUCUGACAUACAAAAGACUGUGUGGUUUAAUUUGAAUGGAAUGUCUAUGACAAGGGUUGCUUAUCUGUGGGAAGAGUUAGACCUGAACAUUUGUGUGAAACAACUUUACAGAAUUAUGAGGAACUUGAAAUGAAAUCAAAGAUGGGAGCUUUAAACAAAGUUUUUGAGACAGUUAUGUAUCCAGGCUGGCCUCAGUAAUCACUGUUUGGUAGGUAAGAUGGCAUUGUGUAUGUGCUGCCAAGCCUGACAAUCUGGAAUUUGGUCUCUAGAACCCACAAGGUAGGAGAAAACUAGCUCCCACCAUUUUCCUCAGACUUUUUCAUGUGUGCUGUGGCACACUCAAGAUUGCUUUUUCCUGUCCUUAGUGUGCCAGGAGUCAAGAGUGCUUUUAUAUACAAAAUAUGUUUCUCAGACUUCAUAUUCCAGUUUCUGUGAGCUGGAAAGCUUGCAUAUAGACUGUUUGCUUCUGUCUUUCCAGUGCCGGGAGUCAGAAUGUCAAGGUGGGAACUGAAGCCAAGACCAUAGAGGAAAGGUGCUGACUGUUUGCUUUUCAUGGUUCUACAACCUGGGACCACCUGCCCAGGAGUGGCAAAUUCCCCAGUGGGCUGGGCCCUCCCACAUCAAUCAUUAGUCGGGAAAAUGUGCCACACAUUACAGAGGCUGCCUUAGUUAUUCUGUUGGUAUGAGAGACACCAUGACCAAGGCACCUCUGAUAAAGCAUUUAUUUAGUUGAGAGCUUGCUCACAGUUUCAGAGUUACUUUGUUAUCAUGGCAGGCAUGGUGCUUGCAAUUAACUGAGGGCUUUACAUUCUGACCAGUAGUCAGUGGGCAGUAGCUUUUGAAACCUCAAAGCCCACCAUCUCCGAUGUGUCAACCCUUUCCAGCAGCUGACCAACUGGAAACCAAGUAUUCAAAUACCUGAGCCUAUGAGGCCAUUCUUAUUUAAACCAUCACAGAGGUAUUAGUAAGAUUUUCUUUCCCAAGAACUCUAGGUUUAUGAAAUUGACAAACCUAUUAGGAAGAACUGAACCAACACACCAGCAUUUUGAUCUAUAAUGAUACCACUGAGUAUAGAAGUAGGAAGGUGGAUCUGUUCUGAAACACCUAUGAGCCAAGUGAUUAAACACUAAUCAAAUGUCCUGCAAAGUUCAGUCUUAAUUACUUUUCUGCACCGUGACCAGAGAAACUUAUAAAAGAAAGCAUUUAAUUGGGAUCUUGCUUAACAGUUUCAGAAGGAAAUGACAAUGACCACUGUGGGAAGCAAUGACAGCAGGCAGUCAGGCAUGAAGUUGAGUCAAGCUGAAAGCUUUCGGAUUGAGACAACAAUCAUGAGAGGACUUAACCAAAAGGUAGAGAAAGCUGGGUGGGCUUUUGAAUCCUCAAAGCCUAGUCCCAGUAAAAUACCUUCAACAAGCCCACACCUAAUCCUUCCCACACUUUUACCAGCUGCAGCCCAAACAUUCAAACAAAUAUAUGAGCCUUUGACAGCCAUUCUUAUCCAAAUCACCAUUUUAAAAACAAACAAACCUGCAGUUGAGUGGAAGCGUAAAGAGUUUAACUUGAAUAAAGCCUGCUUUUCUAAUUUCUGUUUGCUUUCUUUUUCUUCAAAACAGGGUUUCUCUAUAGCCCUCAUAGGCCUGAAACUCCACCUUCCUCUGCCUACUGAGUGGUGGGAUUAAAGGGGUGUGCCACCCCAUCAGGCAAUGUUUGCUUGCUUUCUUUUUUUAAAAGAUUUAUUUUUAUUUUAUGUAUAUGAAACACUGUAGCUGUACAGAUGGUUGUGAACCAUUAUGUGGUUGCUGGGAAUUGAACUCAGGACCUCUGCUCACUUCGGCCCCACUCGCUCCAUCCCAAAGUUAUAUUUAAGUACACUGUAGCUGUCUUCAGACAUACCAGAAGAGGGCAUCAGAUCUCAUUACAGAUGGUUGUGAGCCACCGGGUGGUUGCUGGGAUUUGAACUCGGGACCUUCGGAAGAGCAGUAUUCUUAACCACUGAGCCAUCUCUCCAGCCUACUUACUUUCUUUUUUAAUGAUUUAUUUAUUUUUAGUUUGUGUACGUUGGUGUUCCUCUGGAAAAGGAAAGCAGACAAGGAUCUUAACUCUCCAGCCCACAUUUGUUUGCUCUGUAAACUAGCUUGAUGGUCCAGCAGCCAGUGCCUCUUGAAUCCAGAAGAAAAGUUUUCUGCUUCCUGCAAAGGCUGGUCACGGAGGAUGAGUUUACCUGUUUGUGUGUGGUUCAUGUGUACUCCUUUAAUAUUUGAAACAAGAUCUCUUACUAAAACUGUGACAUAACUAGAAACACCAGGGACCCUCCUGUCUCCACCUCCACCUUGCAGCUCUGAGAUUACAGCUGUGCCCCAACAUGACUGGUUACGAGGGAUCUGAACUUUGGUCCUAGCCUUACUUGACAGCAGCACUCUUCCAGCUGAUCUGUUUUGUUUUGUUUUGUUUUUUUAAAUGUCGAUCUGAAAUGUAUUAUAAAAGAUGGAGGCAGGAAGAUCAUCAUUCUAGACCACCUGAGGUAUAUGAAAUCCUGGGUUAAAAACAGCUUCAAAACAGCCAGAACUUAAUGCAGGCUGUCAAUGUCAAGCUGCAUGCUGAAGCUCUCAAGGCAUCCUUAGUCCAGUGUCCAUAUCGAUCCAGCAUCCUGAUGCCUGGCAGUUUUUGUGUGAUGUUUAAUGAACUGGGACUGGAAAGGGAGGAGACAGCCAAGUUGGAUCAAAGUGUGUGUGUGUGUGUGUGUGUGUGUGUGUGUGUUUUGCCUGUAUGCAUAUGUCUUGGAUUCCCUGGAACUAGAAUUAAAGUUGUCAGCAUCCAUAAAUUGUCAAGGAUAGAAAGAAGCACAUUGAUGUUGUCCUCGGCAUGUUCUUUCACAGAAGUCUGCAGACACAUGCCCAGAAAAGUGCAAUGUGAAUAAGUUGGCAACUGUUGACAGCAGCUUCAUACUUGUCAGCAUAUUUUUAAUUUAAGUUUAUUUACUUAUUUUUUGUCUUAUUUUAAUUUUUAAAAUUGAAAUUUUAAUUUAAAAUUUAAAUUAUU